rnacentral:rRNA from 1 species
GAUCCUGGCUCAGGAUGAACGCUAGCUACAGGCUUAACACAUGCAAGUCGAGGGGCAGCAUCAUCAAAGCUUGCUUUGAUGGAUGGCGACCGGCGCACGGGUGAGUAACACGUAUCCAACCUGCCGACAACACUGGGAUAGCCUUUCGAAAGAAAGAUUAAUACCGGAUGGCAUAGUUUUUCCGUCAUGGGGAUAAUUAUUAAAGAAUUUCGGUUGUCGAUGGGGAGUGCGUUCCAUUAGG